GGACCGUUCGUCUAUCGGUUAGGACACCAGGUUUUCAACCUGGGAAGAGGGGUUCAACUCCCCUACGGUCUGCCA
rnacentral:tRNA from 5 species